rnacentral:rRNA from 1 species
UACAGAGGGGGCAAGCGUUGUUCGGAAUUACUGGGCGUAAAGGGCGCGUAGGCGGCCUUCUAAGUCGAACGUGAAAUCCCCGGGCUCAACCCGGGAACUGCGUCCGAUACUGGAAGGCUUGAAUCCGGGAGAGGGAUGCGGAAUUCCAGGUGUAGCGGUGAAAUGCGUAGAUAUCUGGAGGAACACCGGUGGUGUAGACGGCUUUCUGGACCGUAACUGACGCUGAGACACGAAAGCGUGGGUAGCAAACAGG